CUUAUCGAGAGUGACCGAGGGUACAGGCCCUGUGACGUCACGGCAACCUGCCGAGGCAAGGUGCCAAAUCCUGCGGUUUUACCGAGAGAUGAG
rnacentral:ncRNA from 1 species